rnacentral:tRNA from 3 species
GCUGAAAUAGCUCAAUAGGUAGAGCAACGCCCUCGUAACGCGUAGGUUGUAGGUUCAAGUCCUAUUUUCAGCACCA